UCAUGGGUUGUUUGGUCAAAUGUCCCAGAACCAAGAUGAAUGGGACGUAGACUAGACAGAAAUACAGAGAGACAAAGAUCAGUCCUCGGAAGGAGCAAGCAUGUGCGUAUCCACUUUGACAUUGCCACAGGGGAGCCGACCUAGUGAGUUAUGCAGUAUUUCCACUGGUGUUUCACCCCAGCACCAGGGCUACACUGGUGAUUUAUGCUAAUAUUUGCUCUAGACCGCAGUUUCGACGAUACGUUUGGUCCCAAGGAUGUAAGGGGCUCAGAUAGGGAGGGAAGAGUAAACCAUUAAUGUGAUUUGUUUCUCCGGUUGAAAAAAAAAAAAAAGGCAAUAUUUUCCUGGUAGUAAAAUGAACAAUAACACCAUGCUCAGUCUGUUUAUAAUACAGCGUUUGAACUUGAAUGAUAAAACUAAUUUCUUAGUCGUUGUGGACUUGGUUUUCCACGACAUUAGUAGAUCGAGCACCUACAAGCUCAGAGAACUGUUGGCCAGGCAAAUGCCCUCGUCUCCAGCACCAUCUCAAAAGCAACACAGCUGAGCAACCGGUCUGAUAAAAAUGACUACUCGGCGAGAUGUGCAUCAGAGGACACGUUUUCACCAUUGAAACCGCCUCGAAUAAUCUGUAAUGACACAGGGCCAUGUUAUGGAAAUUUUGAACUAAGGUGCAUUUGAGAAAUGUCUGUCUUUCCAUUGGCUGAUAUGUAAAUCUGUACUUUGAUUGUGACACACAUGUCUGUAUAAUAUCAGAGGAGUAUUAGGUAUUUGGGCCAUGUGCUCCUGCCUAGAAGAAGGAUGUACUAGUUAAAGAUGUCGAGAGGGGUGUGGUGUUUGAAUAGGAGACAUCCUUGACCGGCACAGGUGGAUUAGAGGGGUACUCGUAAAUCUGUAUCCCUUUAGUGUCUCUGUUGACUAUCCAGACAUUGUGGGGGGACAGCCCGCCCUUUGGGUAAACUCUUGUGACAAGACAGAUGGCAGCAUCGUACCACACCGCUUUUUCUAUGUAAUAAAUACGGAUUGUUCAUGUAUGGAGUUAGAGACUCUCUCAUAUUUGUAUAAUAGUUAAUAAAACUGUUAGAAUGUGCCAAGAGAACUUUGUCUCCGUUUCUUACUCCUUUAAGAGUGUCGAUACAUGGAAUUUCCAUCACAGCCAUAAUCUGGACAGCACAACAUUUAUGAAAUUGUCUAGAAGGUUCAAUGCUGAAUCUACAGGUUGCUGAACAGCUUCUAACACGAGCCAUAAGCCUGCUAAAUGGCUCUUCAAAAGCCAGUUAACUGGCAUUUUACAAACACCGGUCCAAUUCGGAGUUGACUGCUUGGUUAACUGAUGACAAAAAAGCAUUCACUCACCUCGGCCAUGGUACUCAUCUGAGAUAGGUGGAAGGGAAGUCAGAGAAAGUGACAAAACAGAAUAUAAAGACACGUCACUACUCACUGUGGUAUCACCUGAGAAAAAC
ensembl:lncRNA